GACGAACCGAGCGACGGUUGUUCGGAAUCACUGGGCUUAAAGGGCGCGUAGGCGGGCUGCCGCGUCCGGGGUGAAAUCCCACGGCUCAACCGUGGAACGGCCCCGGGUACGGGCGGCCUCGAGGGGGGUAGGGGCGUGCGGAACUGUGGGUGGAGCGGUGAAAUGCGUUGAUAUCCACAGGAACUCCGGUGGCGAAGGCGGCACGCUGGACCCCCACUGACGCUGAGGCGCGAAAGCCAGGGGAGCGAACGGG
rnacentral:rRNA from 1 species